AGAGUUUGAUCCUGGCUCAGGAUGAACGCUGGCGGCGUGCUUAACACAUGCAAGUCGAACGUGAAGGUUAACUUCGGUUAACUGGAAAGUGGCGGACGGGUGAGUAACACGUGGGUACCUGCCUUGAAGUGGGGGAUAACCAUUGGAAACGAUGGCUAAUACCGCAUAGUCCCGAAAGGGUAAAACUGAGGUGCUUCAAGAGGGGCUUGCGUUCGAUUAGCUAGUUGGUGAGGUAAAGGCUCACCAAGGCAAUGAUCGAUAGCUGGUCUGAGAGGAUGAUCAGCCACACGGGAACUGAGACACGGUCCCGACUCCUACGGGGGGCAGCAGUGAGGAAUAUUGCACAAUGGGGGAAACCCUGAUGCAGCAACGCCGCGUGGAGGACGAAGGCAUUUGCCGUAAACUCCUUUUCUACAGGAAGAGUAAGGACGGUACUGUAGGAAUAAGUCACGGCUAACUACGUGCCAGCAGCCGCGGUAAUACGUAGGUGGCAAGCGUUAUCCGGAAUUACUGGGCGUAAAGGGCACGCAGGCGGUAUGGACAGUCUGAUGUGAAAGCUCAUAGCUUAACUGUGAGAGGUCAUUGGAAACUAACAUACUUGAGGCAGUGAGAGGGGUGCAGAAUUCCCGGUGUAGUGGUGGAAUGCGUAGAUAUCGGGAGGAAUACCAGUGGCGAAAGCGGCACCCUGGCACUGACCUGACGCUCAUGUGCGAAAGCGUGGGUAGCGAACGGGAUUAGAUACCCCGGUAGUCCACGCCGUAAACGAUGAACACUAGGUGUAGGAGGGGUUAAAGCCUUCUGUACCAAAGCCAACGCGAUGAGUGUUCCGCCUGGGGAGUACGGCCGCAAGGCUAAAACUCAAAGGAAUUGACGGGGGCCCGCACAAGCAGCGGAGCGUGUGGUUUAAUUCGAUCAACGCGAAGAACCUUACCUGGGUUUGACAUAUAUGUAGUAGUGAAGGGAAACCGGAACGACUCUUCGGAGAGCAUAUACAGGUGCUGCAUGGCUGUCGUCAGCUCGUGUCGUGAGAUGUUGGGUUAGGUCCCGCAACGAGCGCAACCCUUGUCGUUAGUUAUACGUGUCUAGCGAGACUGCCGGUGUCAAGUCGGAGGAAGGUGAGGACGACGUCAAGUCAGCAUGGCCUUUAUAUCCAGGGCUACACACACGCUACAAUGGGUAAUACAAUAGGAAGCGAAGGGGCGACCCGGAGCAAAUCCCUCAAAGUUAUCCGUAGUUCGGAUUGUAGGCUGCAACUCGCCUGCAUGAAGCCGGAGUUGCUAGUAAACGCAGGUCAGCCAUACUGCGUUGAAUACGUUCCCGGGCCUUGUACACACCGCCCGUCACGUCAUGGAAGUCGGAAACACCUGAAGUCGGUGACCUAACCGCAAGGAAGGAGCUGCCUAGGGUGGGUCUGAUGACUGGGACGAAGUCGAAACAAGGUA
rnacentral:rRNA from 1 species